rnacentral:rRNA from 1 species
GACGUAGGGGGCGAGCGUUGUCCGGAUUCAUUGGGCGUAAAGAGCGCGUAGGCGGCCCGGAAAGCGGGAUGUGAAAACCCGAGGCUCAACCUCGGGCGUGCAUUCCGAACUCCCGGGCUCGAGGCAGGUAGGGGAGAUCGGAAUUCCUGGUGUAGCGGUGAAAUGCGCAGAUAUCAGGAGGAACACCGGUGGCGAAGGCGGAUCUCUGGGCCUGAUCUGACGCUGAGGCGCGAAAGCUAGGGGAGCGAACAGG